GCAGUGGGGAUAUUGCACAUGGGCGAGCUGAUGCAGCGACGCCGCGUGAGGGAUGACGCUUCGGGUGUUAAACCUCUUUCAGCAGGGAGAGCCACAAGUGACGGUACCUGCAGAGAGCGCCGGCUAACUACGUGCCAGCAGCCGCCGGUAAUACGUAGGGCGCAGCGUUGUCCGGAAUUAUUGGGGCGUAAAGAGCUCGUAGGCGGUUUGUCGCGUCUGCUGUGAAAGCCCGGGGCUCAACCCCGGGUCUGCAGUGGGUACGGGCAGACUAGAGUGCAGUAGGGGAGACUGGAAUUCCUGGUGUAGCGGUGAAAUGCGCAGAUAUCAGGAGGAACACCGAUGGCGAAGGCAGGUCUCUGGGCUGUUACUGACGCUGAGGAGCGAAAGCAUGGGGAGCGAACAGGAUUAGAUACCCUGGUAGUCCAUGCCGUAAACGUUGGGCACUAGGUGUGGGGGACAUUCCACGUUCUCCGCGCCGUAGCUAACGCAUUAAGUGCCCCGCCUGGGGAGUACGGCCGCAAGGCUAAAACUCAAAGGAAUUGACGGGGGCCCGCACCAGCGGCGGAGCCUGCGGAUUAAUUCGAUGCAACGCGAAGAACCUUACCAAGGCUUGACAUUCACCGGACCGCACUGGAGACAGUGUUUCCCUUCGGGGUCGGUGGACAGGUGGUGCAUGGUUGUCGUCAGCUCGUGUCGUGAGAUGUUGGGUUAAGUCCCGCAACGAGCGCAACCCUCGUUCUAUGUUGCCAGCACGUGAUGGUGGGGACUCAUAGGAGACUGCCGGGGUCAACUCGGAGGAAGGUGGGGAUGACGUCAAAUCAUCAUGCCCCUUAUGUCUUGGGCUUCACGCCUGCUACAAUGGCCGGUACAAAGGGUUGCGAUACUGUGAGGUGGAGCUAAUCCCAAAAAGCCGGUCUCAGUUCGGAUUGAGGUCUGCAACUCGACCUCAUGAAGUUGGAGUCGCUAGUAAUCGCAGAUCAGCAACGCUGCGGUGAAUACGUUCCCGGGCCUUGUACACACCGCCCGUCAAGUCACGAAAGUUGGUAACACCCGAAGCCGGUGGCCUAACCCCUUGUGGGAUGGAGCCUUCGAAGGUGGGACCGGCGAUGUGACUUAGUCGAAAUCUAGGAGGCUUCCGCG
rnacentral:rRNA from 1 species